rnacentral:rRNA from 1 species
UAGGGAAUCUUCGGCAAUGGACGGAAGUCUGACCGAGCAACGCCGCGUGAGUGAAGAAGGUUUUCGGAUCGUAAAGCUCUGUUGUAAGAGAAGAACGAGUGUGAGAGUGGAAAGUUCACACUGUGACGGUAUCUUACCAGAAAGGGACGGCUAACUACGUGCCAGCAGCCGCGGUAAUACGUAGGUCCCGAGCGUUGUCCGGAUUUAUUGGGCGUAAAGCGAGCGCAGGCGGUUAGAUAAGUCUGAAGUUAAAGGCUGUGGCUUAACCAUAGUACGCUUUGGAAACUGUUUAACUUGAGUGGNAANGGAAAAGUGGAAUUCCAUGUGUAGCGGUGAAAUGCGUAAAUAUAUGGAGGAACACCGGUGGGGAAAAGCGGCUCUCUGGCCUGUAACUGACGCUGAGGCUCGAAAGCGUGGGGAGCAAACAGGAUUAAAUACCCUGGUAGUCCACGCCGUAAACGAUGAGUGCUAGGUGUUGGGUCCUUUCCGGGACUCAGUGCCGCAGCUAANNCAUUAAGCACUCCGCCUGGGGAGUACGACCGCAAGGUUG